UGGGGAAUAUUGGACAAUGGGCGGAAGCCUGAUCCAGCCAUGCCGCGUGUGUGAAGAAGGCCUUUUGGUUGUAAAGCACUUUAAGCGAGGAGGAGGCUACUUGGAUUAAUACUCUAGGAUAGUGGACGUUACUCGCAGAAUAAGCACCGGCUAACUCUGUGCCAGCAGCCGCGGUAAUACAGAGGGUGCGAGCGUUAAUCGGAUUUACUGGGCGUAAAGCGUGCGUAGGCGGCUUCUUAAGUCGGAUGUGAAAUCCCUGAGCUUAACUUAGGAAUUGCAUUCGAUACUGGGAAGCUAGAGUAUAGGAGAGGAUGGUAGAAUUCCAGGUGUAGCGGUGAAAUGCGUAGAGAUCUGGAGGAAUACCGAUGGCGAAGGCAGCCAUCUGGCCUAAUACUGACGCUGAGGUACGAAAGCAUGGGGAGCAAACAGG
rnacentral:rRNA from 1 species